AUUGAACGCUGGCGGCAGGCCUAACACAUGCAAGUCGAACGAGCGGCGGACGGGUGAGUAAUGUAUGGGAAACUGCCUGAUGGAGGGGGAUAACUACUGGAACCGGUAGCUAAUACCGCAUACCAUCGGAUGUGCCCAGGUGGGAUUAGCUAGUAGGUGGGGUAAAGGCUCACCUAGGCGACGAUCCCUAGCUGGUCUGAGAGGAUUACCAGCCAAACGGGAACUGAGACACGGUCCAGACUCCUACGGGAGGCAGCAGUGGGGAAUAUUGCACAAUGGGCGAAAGCCUGAUGCAGCCAUGCCGCGUGUGUGAAGAAGGCCUUCGGGUUGUAAAGUACUUUCAGCGGGGAGGCGUUACCCGCAGAAGAAGCACCGGCUAACUCCGUGCCAGCAGCCGCGGUAAUAC
rnacentral:rRNA from 1 species